AGCGAACGCUGGCGGCAGGCUUAACACAUGCAAGUCGAGCGGGCGUAGCAAUACGUCAGCGGCAGACGGGUGAGUAACGCGUAGGAACGUACCUUUUGGUUCGGGAUAACCCAGGGAAACUUGGGCUAAUACCGGAUAAGCCCUUACGGGAAGGAUUAUCGCCGAAGAUCGGCCCGCGUCUGAUUAGCUAGUUGGUUGAGGUAACGGCUCACCAAGGCGACGAUCAGUAGCUGGUCUGAGAGGAUGAUCAGCCACAUUGGGAC
rnacentral:rRNA from 1 species